rnacentral:rRNA from 1 species
GUCGAGCGGCAGCGGAGAGUAGCUGGCUACUUUGCCGGCGAGCGGCGGAGGGGUGAGUAAUGUCUGGGAAACUGCCUGAUGGAGGGGGAUAACUACUGGAAACGGUCGCUAAUACCGCAAAACGUCGCAAGACCAAAGAGGGGGACCUUCGGGCCUCUCGCCAUCAUAUGUGCCCAGAUGGGAUUAGCUAGUAUGUGGGGUAACGGCUCACCUAGGCCACGAUCCCUAGCUGGUCUGAGAGGAUGACCAGCCACACUGGAACUGAGACACGGUCCAGACUCCUACGGGAGGCAGCAGUGGGGAAUAUUGCACAAUGGGCGCAAGCCUGAUGCACCCGUGCCGCGUGUAUGAAGAAGGCCUUCGGGUUGUAAAGUACUUUCAGCGGGGAGGAAGGCGUUGAGGUUAAUAACCUCAGCGAUUGACGUUACCCGCAAAAGAAGCACCGGCUAACUCCGUGCCAGCAGCCGCGGUAAUACGGAGGGUGCAAGCGUUAAUCGGAAUUACUGGGCGUAAAGCGCAC